AACGCGAAGAACCUUACCAAGACUUGACAUGUGCUUGAAAGUAGUAGAAAUAUUGCUGCCGCAAGGCAAGUACACAGAUGCUGCAUGGCUGUUGUCAGCUCGUGCCGUGAGGUGUUGGGUUAAGUCCCGCAACGAGCGCAACCCCUAUUGUCGGUUAUUAUGUCCGGCGAGACUGCCCUAUUUAUAAUAGGGAGGAAGGUGGGGAUGACUUCAAGUCAGCACGGCUCUUACGUCUUGGGCUAGAAACACGCUACAAUGGCCGGUACAAAGGGUUGCCAACCCGCGAGGGGGAGCUAAUCCCAUCAAAACCGGUCUCAGUUCAGAUUGUAGGCUGAAACUCGCCUGCAUGAAGUUGGAGUUGCUAGUAACCGUAAGUCAGCAUAUUACGGUGAAUACGUUCCCGGGCCUUGUACACACCGACGCGUA
rnacentral:rRNA from 1 species